rnacentral:misc_RNA from 1 species
ACACCUCAACUCUCAUGGUCUGCCAUGAUGAGCUUGGACUUUGGGGGUCUUGCUGGCCUACCGUCAGCUCCUCUCAAAUGAAUCAGCUUACCAGUGUUUGGUGGCACCACGGGUGUGAUAACUAUCUACGCUUGUGGUUUUCUGCCGGGUAACCUCCAGUGAUGGAGGUUCGCUGGAGCUCACAAAUGUCUCUUCCUCAGCGAGGACAGCUUUUUGAAC